rnacentral:misc_RNA from 1 species
ACAAACUUGGUCAUUUAGAGGAAGUAAAAGUCAUAACAAGGUUUCUGUAGGUGAACCUGCAGAAGGAUCAUUAGAGAAUUUUUUAGGGUUAGAUUUCGAUCUUCCCGAACCUUUCUUAUUAUCCAAAACACCUGUGCAUAUUUCGUGGUAAAUAGUCUGUUUUCAGGCAAUUUUUCUACGAAUUAACAUUUUUUACACACUAUGUUUUUUUGAACGAAAAAAAUUAAUAAUAAAUCAUAACUUUUGACAACGGAUCUCUUGGUUCUCCCAUCGAUGAAGAACGCAGC